CCUACGGGUCGCAGCAGUGGGGAAUAUUGCACAAUGGGCGCAAGCCUGAUGCAGCCAUGCCGCGGGUACGAAGAAGGCCUUCGGGUUGUAAAGUACUUUCAGCGGGGAGGAAGGUGUUGUGGUUAAUAACCGCAGCAAUUGACGUUACCCGCAGAAGAAGCACCGGCUAACUCCGUGCCAGCAGCCACGGUAAUACGGAGGGUGCAAGCGUCAAUCGGAAUUACUGGGCGUAAAGCGCACGCAGGCGGUCUGUCAAGUCGGAUGUGAAAUCCCCGGGCUCAACCUGGGAACUGCAUUCGAAACUGGCAGGCUAGAGUCUUGUAGAGGGGGGUAGAAUUCCAGGUGUAGCGGUGAAAUGCGUGGAGAUCUGGAGGAAUACCGGUGGCGAAGGCGGCCCCCUGGACAAAGACUGACGCUCAGGUGCAAAAGCGUGGGGAGCAAACAGGAUUAGAUACCCUAGUAGUC
rnacentral:rRNA from 1 species